AAAAGAUGGUUCUGCUAUCACUCUUGGAUGGACCUGCGGUGCAUUAGCUAGUUGGUAAGGUAACGGCUUACCAAGGCAAUGAUGCAUAGCCGAGUUGAGAGACUGAUCGGCCACAUUGGGACUGAGACACGGCCCAAACUCCUACGGGAGGCAGCAGUAGGGAAUCUUCCACAAUGGACGCAAGUCUGAUGGAGCAACGCCGCGUGAGUGAAGAAGGGUUUCGGCUCGUAAAGCUCUGUUGGUAGUGAAGAAAGAUAGAGGUAGUAACUGGCCUUUAUUUGACGGUAAUUACCUAGAAAGUCACGGCUAACUACGUGCCAGCAGCCGCGGUAAUACGUAGGUGGCAAGCGUUGUCCGGAUUUAUUGGGCGUAAAGCGAGUGCAGGCGGUUCAAUAAGUCUGAUGUGAAAGCCUUCGGCUCAACCGGAGAAUUGCAUCAGAAACUGUUGAACUUGAGUGCAGAAGAGGAGGGUGGAACUCCAUGUGUAGCGGUGGAAUGCGUAGAUAUAUGGAAGAACACCAGUGGCGAAGGCGGCUCUCUGGUCUGCAACUGACGCUGAGGCUCGAAAGCAUGGGUAGCGAACAGGAUUAGAUACCCUAGUAGUCCAUGCCGUAAACGAUGAGUGCUAAGUGUUGGGAGGUUUCCGCCUCUCA
rnacentral:rRNA from 1 species